UUACCCUGAAGGAUUCAGAGAAUGACUACUGACUAUGGGAACUUGCUGGCUGUGCCCGUGGGCACCACAGUGACAGCUUUGUGACGUCUCAAGUCCGGUUCCAGGAGUGACGAUAAGCAGAACAUCAGCGUAAAGCUUCCUGCCAUCGUGUCUCAGGGGUACACUCAUGUGACAUUCAAAACAAUGGGAAAUUGGAAGAAUUGACAACAAAGAGGAAAGCACAAGAAACAGGAAGUGAUAACACCGGAAAUGAAAUUUGAAGAGAGCGUGAAUGGGGUCAUGGAAGGUGGCUGGCUGUGCCAGCGUUGUCACGGCUGCCAUCCAUGAGACACAAGCUAUGAGUCCCAGAGUUACAGACAGUGAGAGAGAGACAGAGAAAAAGGUCUUCCAUCCACUGAUUCACUCCCCAAAUGGCAGCAACAGUGGGAGCUGCGCCAAUCCGAAGCCAGGAGCCAGGAGCUUCUGGGUCUCCCAUGAGGGUGUGCAAGGGCCCAAGCACUUGCGCCAUCCUCCACUGCUUUCCUGGGCCACAGCAGAGAGCUGGAGUGAAAGAGGAGCAACUGGGACUAGAACCCAGCGCCCAUAUGGGAUGCUGGUGCCGCAGGUGGAGGAUCAACCAAGUGAGCCAUGGUGCCGGCCUCAGCAGUCAUUAAUUUUUAUAGUGACUAUUAUUAUAAUC